GGAACAAAUCCCACUGCAUCACCCAAGGCCAGGCUCUUAGGCCAAAGCAUCUGGAUGACGGUGUGGAAUCACAGGGGCCACCUGAGAGAGUCAGAGGAUGUGCCCCGGACAAGCCCUGGUGACAGCCCAGGAGCAGCAUUCCUUUUUUCACACCUUCAGUGCAAGUGUAAGAAGAAGGCAAUGGCACCCCACCCCAGUGCUCUCGCCUGGAAAAUCCCAUGGACAGAGGAGCCUGGUGGGCCGCAGUCCAUGGGGCGCUAAGGGUCGGACUCGACUGAGCGACUUCACUUUCACUUUUCACUUUCACACAUUGGAGAAGGAAAUGGCAACCCACUCCAGCGUUCUUGCCUGGAGAAUCCCAGGGACGGGGGAGCCUGGUGGGCUGCCAUCUAUGGGGUCGCACAGAGUCGGACACGACUGA
rnacentral:lncRNA from 1 species